AAUUUUGAUGCAGUUGCACCCGCGCUACUCUUUUGAGUGUGUUGCGGUGUGCGACGGUCAUUUUUCUGGGUAACUAUACUGUCCUUCACUGGGUGGUUGUGUGAACCGGUUCAUUUACUGUGAGACAAUCAGAGUGUUCAAAGCAGGCAUUUAUGCCUGUAUGUUUCAGCAUGGAAUAAUAAGAUAAGACUUUGGUUUCAUCUUGUUGACUAUGUUAAUCAAAGUAAUGAUUUAUAGAGAUAAUUGGGGGUGUUAGAAUUAAGUGCUCAGCGGUGAAAUGCUCAGACUCAUUUAAGACUAACUUAUGCGAAAGCAUU
rnacentral:rRNA from 1 species